rnacentral:rRNA from 1 species
GAUCAUGGCUCAGGAUGAACGCUAGCUACAGGCUUAACACAUGCAAGUCGAGGGGCAGCAUGAACUUAGCUUGCUAAGUUUGAUGGCGACCGGCGCACGGGUGAGUAACACGUAUCCAACCUUCCCGUUACUCUGGGAUAGCCUUUCGAAAGAAGGAUUAAUACCGGAUAGUAUCGAGAGAUUGCAUGAUAACCCGAUUAAAGAUUUAUCGGUAACGGAUGGGGAUGCGUUCCAUUAGA